GGGCCGUUAGCUCAACCGGCAGAGCAUCGGACUCUUAAUCCGAGGGUUGCAGGUUCGAGUCCUGCACGGCCCACCA
rnacentral:tRNA from 1 species